AGAGUUUGAUCCUGGCUCAGGAUGAACGCUAGCUACAGGCUUAACACAUGCAAGUCGAGGGGAAACGACAUCGAAAGCUUGCUUUUGAUGGGCGUCGACCGGCGCACGGGUGAGUAACGCGUAUCCAACCUGCCCACCACUUGGGGAUAACCUUGCGAAGUAAGACUAAUACCCAAUGACGUCUCUAGAAGACAUCUGAAAGAGAAUUAAAGAUUUAUCGGUGAUGGAUGGGGAUGCGUCUGAUUAGCUUGUUGGCGGGGUAACGGCCACCAAGGCUACGAUCAGUAGGGGUUCUGAGACGGAAGGUCCCCCANAUUGGAACUGAGACACGGUCCAAACGUCCUACGGGAGGCA
rnacentral:rRNA from 1 species